CGCAGGAAAUAUUGUGAGCUGUGACCAAAAAUGCUUAUUUAUCAAUAUUUUUAUUUUAGGUAUUCAGUAGUUUAGAUUAAGUUUUAUGUAACUACAAUCGAAAUAGCCUAUCUUGUAUGUAACUGAAAAAGUGACCCUGCCUUGAAAACAAAAACACAAUACAAGUCUAAAAGUUAGGUAUUCCCAACUAUAAAAAUAUUGACUGUUCCACGAAGCGCAGACCUGGGAAGUAGGGCAAUGGAUAACAGCCUAACGUUAUCAGACCCGACUUGUUUUUGAUUUAAAUGUAUAGAAUUAUUAAUGUACUUACAGAACAUUAUUUCAGAACAUCUAUUGCAGUCUUUGCAUGCAGUCACUGGUUGAAGUCGUUGGUCCUAAGUUGCAGUUAAUUUCAAUGACUGCAACCUUGUUUAAUCAUAAAUACUACUCCACUACUAUAGAUUUCAAAUCUUCAAAGAUGUAAGAGAUAAGUAUCCUUGUUAAUUCCGGGUAUAGAUAAAGCCUAACAAUUAUUUCAGAAAGAACCCAACUCAGCUUACCUACUAUCUGUGAAUUAACAGAUACAGAAUGAAUGCCAAUAAACUUUCAAGCAAUAUAGGUAUUUAGAUAAGAAUUAUUAACGUUCCGUUAUACCAAAAUGGUAAAACUGAUACCCUUAUGAUGUGACUUAAAAAAAAUUAAAAUAUGUUCACGAAAAAAAUUAUUUAUUAAAUCACAUAUAGAUGGCGCAGUUCGUCAUUAACUUACAGUGUUCUACAUAAGUAUUAGAUGUAUGCAUUGUACGAUGGUACGGAACCUUUCGUGGGCGAGGCCGACUCGCACUUGACCGAUUUUCAAUAAAA